UACGUAGGGUGCGAGCGUUGUCCGGAAUUAUUGGGCGUAAAGAGCUCGUAGGCGGUCUGUCGCGUCUGCUGUGAAAACUCAGGGCUUAACCCUGAGCUUGCAGUGGGUACGGGCAGACUAGAGUGCGGUAGGGGAGACUGGAAUUCCUGGUGUAGCGGUGAAAUGCGCAGAUAUCAGGAGGAACACCGAUGGCGAAGGCAGGUCUCUGGGCCGAUACUGACGCUGAGGAGCGAAAGCGUGGGGAGCGAACAGG
rnacentral:rRNA from 1 species